AGAGUCAUGGUCGAGUGCAUCUAGAGCUGCGCAGGGACGGGCUCCUGGGUCCCCUCUCCAGGCAGCAUGCCAUCGAGUUCGUGGCUCGGACUGGGGGAGGAAGAGGAAGCAGAUGCCCUGAGAGUGGGGGUGUGGGCACGUAGGUUGUGAAACACCCAGAGAAACCUCCAAGCCAGCAAAGAAGAUUUGGUUUCUGGAAUUUGGAAUUCAAAGUUUUUCAGACUCAACAUUUCUGUGACUAGAAGGUCCUUUCUCAAGAAGUAGCCACAGCUUCAGAGUCAGAAAAGUGACCUCAUCCUUGGAACAGCAUGGCCUGGAGAUGAUCCUCUAUGUGAUGUAUAACUGCUUAUGGCCUCAAGGGUCAUUAUCUUGUCAUUAAGUCUCCUAGGAGCUAAUGUCAUCACAAAUGGGAGCUAUGCACUCUUCAUCACUUUUUUCACCUGGGGAUGAUCUUCAGUUACAAGCAGUACAUAUUAUAAUGAGGAUUAUUUUAAUUUUAGGAGACAAAGAAGAAAUGUUUUUCUGUUAAAAAACUGGAAAAGAUGGAAACUGAUAACAACUUUAUUCAAAGUCACCUACAAACCUGUCACUUAAACAUGACCAGAGUUUUAGGAAGUCUUCCAGUUCUUGGAAGUGAAUGGUUGGGAAGGCAAAUCUUUAGUAUGACAAACAGACUCCCCUCCUAUGCCGGUGCCCUGUGUCAAUCUCUCUUAUAUGACCGCUGCCUUUUACUAAGUUCUUGGCACAAAAGUCAGUAGACUUAUGUUUUAGUUUUUAUCUUCAAUUUCUGGGAAGUCUCUCUCUCUCUCUCUCUCUCUCUCUCUCUCUCUCUCUCUCUUUAAGAAAAAAAGAAAAGACAUGAAAAAUCAUGCCAAGGAGUUUGGACUUUUCUCCCAUCAGGGACUGGGAACCCUUGAAGGAUUAAAAUUGGUUGACUCAUCCAAACUGAUUUGUGCAGAGGAAGAUUCCCCGGAGGCAGCGAUGCAUGAAUUAAGUGAAUGAACAUUUUCAGGUACCCGGGGAAUCCUAAGGGAAGCUCAGCUUUUACUUCUUGAAUUUUAUAGUCCUGACAGACUCUGUGGUUAUUGAAAACAGAGAGCUGAGUCCAUGACAAUGAAGAGAUGUAAGGAGAGACUUUGGGUAAGUCCCUGUCUCUCGGGACCUCAGUUUCCUUAACCACCAACAAGGAAAGGAUCUCUGAAGUUUUCUUGCCUUCUAACAUUGGAGGAUAAGACUGAGUGCCUAAGGAAAUAUUCUUAAAGUGACACAACCUGAUUUCCUCCCUCCAAUUUCUUCUUCUGACUAAGAUGGACAAAUGCAUAAGGUGCUCGGAACGUGGAUCAUAAGAGGAGCUACUCAGUGGGAAUAGUAGAGUCACCAGAGGAAUGUAAUCUCAGUAUCUGACAAAGUCGAGCCUCUGUACAAACCUUGAACUAUUUAUGUUCAUAUAGGCAUGAGAGAAAUAGAUUCCUAUCUUGUUUAAAACAUUAUUGCUUUUGAUUUACUAUUAUUACAGCUGAAUCUUACACGUGGGAAACACUUAAAAACAGCACAUGACCUUCAUAGUUUUUUCUUUAGAAAAACAUCCAUUAAAAGUAUUUUUGAACCUGGGUCCAGUAAACAUCACAAUCACAUACAUCGGUCUCGUGUUGGGCAGGAGGGACCGAACCCAGUUGGUCAUUUCUUCAUUUUUUAGCAACACCAGUAAUUUUUGUAUAAAUACAGGGCUUAC